rnacentral:tRNA from 1 species
GGCUCCGUAGCUCAGAGGUUAGAACAUUGGCCUUGUAAACGAGGGGUUGCAAGGUCAAUGCUUGCUGGGGCCU